rnacentral:rRNA from 1 species
GACGAACGCUGGCGGCGUGCUUAACACAUGCAAGUCGAGCGGUAAGGCCCUUUCGGGGGUACGACGAGCGGCGAACGGGUGAGUAACACGUGGGUGACCUGCCCUCAGCUCUGGGAUAAGCCUGGGAAACCGGGUCUAAUACUGGAUAUGACUCCAUGACGCAUGUUGUGGGGUGGAAAGCCUUGUGCGGCUGAGGAUGGGCCCGCGGCCUAUCAGCUUGUUGGUGGGGUGAGGCCUACCAAGGCGACGACGGGUAGCCGGCCUGAGAGGGCGACCGGCCACACUGGGACUGAGACACGGCCCAGACUCCUACGGGAGGCAGCAGUGGGGAAUCUUGCGCAAUGGGCGAAAGCCUGACGCAGCGACGCCGCGUGAGGGAUGACGGCC